ACUGCUAAAAAAACACAGAAGAAAAAGUAGUGUGUUUGCGUUUGUGUGUGUGUGUGUGUGCGUGCGCGCGCGCGCGCGUGGUUCGUUCGUUCUGUCUCCAGGCUAGUGGCUAAGUACUGAGGGCUUCAUCUAUCUAAAAGGAGUUAUUUCCAUCUGAAUUUGGCAGCACCGGGACACAGCAGCAGAGCGGUAAGCUUCAUAUCACUCUAAAAUGUCGACAAACUUUACUUUAGAUUUACGGGCAUUAGCAGCACUAAAGCGUUAGCAUCCGGCUUGCUAUCGCUAGCACAGUAUGCUAGUAAAGUUAGCACCCAGAUUAAUGUGGAUUUGGCUGAUUUUCGUGGAAUAAAACGUGAUUUCUGAUCAACGCCUUCUUUUACACCAGAUGAUAACCUCCCACUGAUUGUAACAGCAGAGAGCCUGUGUGUUAUUCUACGUGAGUGUGAUGUAAUCUUAGCAUCCAGUAAAUAAAGUCCCAUAUCAGCUAAAAUGCAGCGUGACAAAGUCAUUAAAGUGCGUCAACACAGUGGAUUUAAUAGAGUUUUAAAGAACGAUCUCUAAGUGAAGUGAGGUUAGUUUUUUGUCUCACUGCAGAUAUAAAAACUAACUCUGCAUCAGUCAGACGCAGCAAAGCUCACCGUCUGUAUGAGCGUGAGCGUCGGAAAGCUGAUAAAAUUGGCUGUAAAAUAAUUAAAACAAAGUAAAAAUGUUCCUUUGCUUUUUAGAGUCCACAUCCAGAAGACUGGAGCCGUGUUUCACUGACAGGCUGUCAGACUAACGCCCUGAUGAGCUCAGCUGGGACAAACUGGUCUGAUGUUUAGGUAAGUGAAGAUCUGCUUCUCCAAGUCCUUGAGAUGCUAGUAAAAAAUAAUUUAGCCAGCUUGCUAAUGUUACUUUUCUUCUCCUCUAAGGAACACAGAACGUUCAGAUGUUGGCGCUUCACGUCACCUACUGAGGAAGGAGACCCACCAGUAAAGAGACGGUCUGGACCAGACCAAAAAUAUGGCGAUGACAUCAUGGAACUGGUCUUUGGAAAAGUUUUCCCUGAACCAACUCCGUUUCUAGAUGAGGACCAGUUUGAAGCCCACAUACUGCCCCUCCCUCAUCAUCAGGAAACAUCAAUCCGUAUCCUGAGGACAACAAAAGACAGCAGGAGGACAGGAACUCUGAGACCUAGAUAACCCCAGCACCGGGACACAAAGCACCUGUGUGCACAACGCCUGUUUAACUACUAAAGCCUGUUUAUUAUAUUGUUCUACUUAUUUGCUGUGAGGUUAAUACUUAGAAAAUUUGUAUAUUAAUGUAAACAAUAAAAAAAAUCACUGAUUGUAUGUUUUCUUUUAGAUGUAAUGGUCCAAACUCAGCCUUGUAGACAUUUAUUGCAUCCUGUAGGUAAAUACACAGAACAGGCUCAGAUCCAGGAUGACCCAGCAUGCUCUUCUUCCAUUCUGGCUGUUAGGGAUUUUAUCAAUAACUCAAUGCCUACUGAUGUUUUCACCUAACGGUAUUUAUUUAGAAUGCAGGUAAGAUUUAACUAUAUUUGUUAGCAAAGCAGACUGAUCUUGGGAAUUUCACUGCAGCACUGAUGUCCACCUCUCUGUACACAUUAGAGAGAAUUACCACUUUACAGCUAAACACAUUUAAUAAAGAUAUAGGCUACGCAUUGCAGACAAUAAAAACAAAGUUGUAAGCAUUAGAAUUAUAAUGAUGACAUUAAAGAACACUUGGAGGAAUGUUCUUUAUUUUUGACUAGAAUCUCAAAUCUUUAAAUUAAAAUGUAACUGCUUUUUAUCCAUUUUCAGCCAUUAAGACACCCAAUAUAAAAUAAGACUACUUAUAAAAUUAUUUAUAAUUAUAUGUAUGUAUAUAGAUAGAGAUCUUAAUAAAAUAUAUUCUUUGAAUGGUGUUUUAAUGAGCUGUAUCAUUUUUUUAAACAUUUUUUACAGAAAUAAGCAAGCAGCAUUCCUUGUGUGUGUGUGUGUGUGUGUGCGCGCGCGCGUGUGCCUGCUCGCUUGUCCCUCCGUCGGCCGUGACGGGUGUGUGUGAGUGACUACAGACAAAUGCAUGAGAGAGUUAGCAGCCAUGAAACAGCUUGAUGAACUACUCUCCCCACGUGUUUUAAAAAUGCUAAUAUGCUAUGCUAAAUCUGCUAUGCUAAAUAAUGAUUUCUCUAUAGAACUACAAAGUCCGACUGGGGGAGGAGAGUACAGGACUGCACUAUGGAGGGGGGCGGAGUUUACAGCUCCUCCUCCAGUUUAAAGAGACAGUACCCCAAAACGGCUCGUUCUCAAGACUCUCCUCAGAACAGGGGUAGAUGAGGGUCUAUAGAGCAACAAUAAUGAGGAAAUCAGACCAAAGAACUGCAGUUCCACUGUUUUUAGACCCCCAACUGAAGGAUUUAGAUGUAAAAAGGAAUAACUUAAAAGCAUGUUAUGUCUCCUUUAAAUGUUCUUAAAGCUAAACUUUUUUUCCAUACCGAGCUGACAAUAAAGCCAAGGUACGCACCAAACUGGGAUUUUAGCCGUUGUGUUACACCCCUAGUGACACACUUCUACUUCCGGCUCUUGGAGGGUGCAGACGCUUUUCUUCUCCUCUCCUCCAUAUCUUAUCCUCAAAGCCUUUGUCUCUGUGUGCUGGGUGCACGGCUGCUUCUGCAUUUCUUCUGGAAACUGGAAACUGAAAUUCACUAAAAUGGAUCUUGUCAGUUGGUCACUCAAGGCAGUUGAUAAAAUCAGCAUAGAAUCAGCACAAAUUGGGAUAGAUUAAUGUCCAUUAUUGGGAUUUUGAGAGGUUGAGAACCAACAAACUGUAAGACAGAGAGGAAAUUAUCUCUGUCUGGCCCCAAAACAAUUUCUAAUUGGAAUCUGGUGCCCUUGAGCCUGCAAGGCUACAAUGAAAACUCCCCCCUCAGAAGAUAUGUGGAAUGUGCUGUCACUAUGGCAACUCAACUCUGUCUCCUUUCCCAGCCUGGGUGGGACUGCGGAAAGGCUGCUGAAACAUUCCAGGGUCAUUGCAUCCCUCCAACCCUCAAUGCUCCUCCCCCUAUCCACACUGAGGUGACAUGCGCUGCUUAUCGUGGCUGCAGGAACUGAAGUGGGGAUAGACCCAACCCACCACCUCACCUUGUGGACACUUAUGUUGUGUUAUCUGAAGUCUGUUGCAUAUCUGUCUGAGGUGUUUUUUGCAUAGCAAAGCUGCUCUCCCAGUGGAGGGUAACUCUGAAGUGCCUUUUGUUCCCUCCACCUGAACCAAUCCUCAUGUAACCCUCUUAUCUCUAUUAAGGUAGAGCGACUCAGGGUUGCUAAUGACCACAGUCAUCAAUUCUUGUCAUGUGUGUAUCUUGCCCAUGUAUGUCUGAUCUCUGAAUUGUGUGUACUGAAACUCUAAUUUCCCUCUGGGAUUAAUAAAGUAUCUUUGAUUUGAUUUGAUUUGAUUGAUGUUCAGAUAAGUGACCACUGAGCUGUGCGUCCUCCCACAUAUUCAGUCUUAAAUAUAUUUACACAAUAAUCUGCAUUUUAGUUUCAACAUCAGCCUGUGAGGCCAGCCAUGCAGCUACAAGGGUUGUUGUCUGUCGCGAGGGUCAAGGAGCCAGUGUCUGGACUCUUGAAUCAAACAUUAAUAAAGGCUGAUUACAAUAUCAAUCUAUAUACAUCACCAUAUUUCUUUCAGGCCAUAUUGCUCAGCCGCAGUAAGGGUGUUGUGUUUUAUAGUUAGAAAUAAAUUAAACUGACGUCUGAGUUUCCAGCCUUGAUCUGUAAGAGAAGAAAAGACCAGUUCAAGCUGGAACAAAGAUUUUGUAAUGUAAAACUAUUCAUGAGGGGGAAACGAAGGUCUUUCUCCUCAUGUUGAUCAAACCACAUUGAGGAGGUAUUAUUCAGCAGAUGCAGAUCUCCUCCUCCAGGAAACAGAUUAUCUAUCAGAGAAGUGAAGCUUUGUGGGGUAUUUUCUUUUCUCAUUUUAACCUGAUCAAUUUCCCACACUUUGUGUCUUAAUCCUCCAAAAUGUUGCUCUAAUUCAAUUAGUUCUGAUUUGUGGAGGUCUGAGCACCUCCAUGAAGAUAAUUACCACGAACUCCAACUCAUAUAGAAUAUAUGCAGUCAGCCUCGUCAUAUUCUCCAAAACCAGUUUGACAUUAAUUUGGGUCGUAAAAAAAUCAAAAUUCUCGCAUGUUGGUCUAAUGCUGACUUAAAGAAAGUCAGACUAUGCACAUUUCCUGUUCUGUGAUGAAUGCUUUUCCAUUUUGGAUAACAAUCUUUCAUAUUUUUCACGUGACGGUCGCAUUAAAACAAACUGAGAUCUUACUCUGGAGGCUUCCAUGAGCGAACAGAUUAAUUAUGGCUGAAGUCAAGAUCAAUUCAGGUUAGUGUGCUCUUGAUUAGAUCAGCCAGAGUAAUUUAACAGCUGCUGUCCUCACUCAGAAGAAGCAAUGGCAAAGUGAGGAAAAAGACUUCCUGCUGUUUGGAAUCAAUCCAGAUAAAAUUCCUCUCUACAGGAAGUAGAAGUGGCUCAUUCGUAGCGACAAGAGGAAUCCAAUGAAUUUUAAACUUCAUCUCCACUUCAUGCAAAGGAAGAAAUCACUCAGAUAAAGCUCUUAUUGAUGCAGCAACCCUCCAGAAGGAUAAUGAACACAUCAAACUUCUCUUCCUUGAGCUGAAACUGUUAUUUUAUUUAAAUAAAGCAAGUUUUAUCUGUGUUGUUCUUAAAGGGCUCGUUCACUGAGAAACCGUGGAAUACUUGUUCAUUUUGACAAACGGUCAUCAGUCUGAGCUGCAGAUGCAAGCUGGACGUGAGAAUUUUGUGCAACCCUUUGUGUAACCCCCAUUAGCCGCAGACAGGAAAUAAAUGAGAAAACGUCAAAGGAAAAGUUUGCUUUCAUA
rnacentral:lncRNA from 1 species